AAUAUUUUACCGGUUGUUCCAACCACCGUUGCUGAAAGUGUGGCCAGUGUGGCCCACUCAUCUUUCUCAAAAAAAAAAGAUACCGAGCUGUCCAAGAAGCCUUUCGUGACCAAGAGUAAGCGCUCGAUAAAGACAAGAACCGAAGAAGAAUAUAAUAUUGGUUUAUGCGAUUUCCAACUGUGUUCUAAGGUAGUAAUUUUUAUUAAGCGGUUUACUUUUUAUAAAUGAAGUAACUUCUUAAACCUUUUUGAAAAUAGCCUAAUCAAGACUGGGUGGGGUGCGACAUCUGCGAUAGAUGGUUUCAUUUUAGAUGUGUGAAAAUAAAGAAGGGUGAAUACACUGAAGACCAACCCUAUCUUUGCUCUGUUUGUAUUAAGUAGGCUCAAGAAGACACCAACAUUUGCUCACUUUCUAUAUUAAUUUCCAUACGUAGAAUUUAGAGAUGUCGAUGGGAAUAAAGAAAAAAAAUCCCCGUUUGUUUUAUAAUUGUAAUGAUUGUGUUUGUGCAGCAUUGCAUUAUGGCUACUCCUUCUCUCAAUUUCCUAAGAAAAUAAAGAAUUCGGAAUAAA